CAUUAUUUCUUGAAUGUCUUUUCUCAUAUCUGUCUUAAAGUCACAAGAUGGAAAUGGUGAAUUCGAGGAUUGAGAGCUGAGAACCUUGAGGUCCAAUAACUGUGAACUGGAAGAAAAUAAAAAGGUCUUAGAAGACAAGUGUAAUGCAUUGAGGUCUGUGAAAGCAGUCAAGGAAGCAAAAGUCAAACAGCUGAAGGAGAAAGCACAUAUCCUUGAAGAAUGCUAUAAACAAAGAAGAGUGGCUGCAGAAGAGAAACUGAAAAUGGCACAAUGUGAACUGGUGGCAAUUGAGAAUCAACUUGAAGCUACAGAGGAAAAUUUGAAAAUAGCUAACGAGGAAAUAUACAA